rnacentral:rRNA from 1 species
GCGUGAGUGAAGAAGGCCCUAGGGUUGUAAAGCUCUUUCACCGGGGAAGAUGAUGACGGUACCCGGAGAAGAAGCCCCGGCCAACUCCGUGCCAGCAGCCGCGGUAAUACGGAGGGGGCUAGCGUUGUUCGGAAUUACUGGGCGUAAAGCGCACGUAGGCGGUUUGCCAAGUCAGGCGUGAAAUCCCCGGGCUUAACCCGGGAACUGCGCUUGAUACUGGCAGGCUAGAGGCCGGGAGAGGGUAGUGGAAUUCCCAGUGUAGAGGUGAAAUUCGU